AUUGAACGCUGGCGGAAUGCUUUACACAUGCAAGUCGAACGGUAGAGGGGCAACCCUUGAGAGUGGCGAACGGGUGAGUAAUGUAUCGGAACAUGCCCAGUCGUGGGGGAUAACGUAGCGAAAGUUACGCUAAUACCGCAUACGAUCUAUGGAUGAAAGCGGGGGAUCGCAAGACCUCGCGCGAUUGGAGUGGCCGAUAUCAGAUUAGGUAGUUGGUGGGGUAAAGGCCUACCAAGCCGACGAUCUGUAGCUGGUCGGAGAGGAAGACCAGCCAGACUUGGGAUGAGACACGGCCCAGACACCUACGGGAGGCAGCAGUGGGGAAUUUUGGACAAUGGGCGAAAGCCUGAUCCAGCCAUUCCGCGUGUAGGAAGAAGGACUUCGGGUUGUAAACUGCUUUUGUACGGAACGAAACGCGCUGUGCUAAUACCACGGCGUAAUGACGGUACCGUAAGAAUAAGCACCGGCUAACUAUGUGCCAGCCGCCGCAGUAA
rnacentral:rRNA from 1 species